GGGACAGUAGGAUGGUCGUGCCACCGGUACGUACUGGUCUCACUGAUUCCUCCUUCCUGAGGAACCGUAAUGCCAUUAAUUUGGUGUUGCGGGGAAACAGGACUGUUACUUUGAAAAAAUUAGAGUGUUUAAAGCAAGCUAACGCUUGAAUACAUUGGCAUGGAAUAAUGAAAUAGGACGAUCGAUCCUAUUUUGUUGGUUUCUAGGAUUGACGUA
rnacentral:rRNA from 1 species